rnacentral:rRNA from 1 species
UACGGAGGGUGCAAGCGUUAUCCGGAUUCACUGGGGUUAAAGGGGGCGUAGGUGGGAAUGUAAGUCAGUGGUGAAAUCUCCGUGCUUAACAUGGAAACUGCCAUUGAUACUAUGUUUCUUGAAUUUUCUGGAGGUAAGCGGAAUAUGUCAUGUAGCGGUGAAAUGCUUAGAUAUGACAUAGAACACCAAUUGCGAAGGUAGCUUGCUACAGGGAUAUUGACACUGAGGCACGAAAGCGUGGGGAUCAAACAGG